CAAUAGCGUAUAUUAAAGUUGCUGCAGUUAAAAAGCUCGUAGUUGGAUUUCUGGUGGGCGCGACCGGUCCGCCCCGCAAGGGGUGAGCACUGGCGUCGCCGUCCGCCAUCCUUGGGGAGAGCGUGGUUGGCAUUCAUUUGUCGAUCAUGGGAUCCCCAUCGUUUACUGUGAGAAAAUCAGAGUGUUCAAAACAGGCUUACGCCUUGGAUACAUUAGCAUGGAAUAAUAGUCGAGGCUUUUGGUCUGACUUGUUGGUUUGCAGCCCGAGAGAAUGAUUCAAUAGGGAUAGUUGGGGGUAUUCGUAUUCAAUUGUCAGAGGUGAAAUUCUUGGAUUUAUGGAAGACGAACUACUGCGAAAGCAUUUACCAAGGAUGUUUUCAUUAAUCAAGAACGAAAGUAAGGGGAUCGAAGAUGAUUAGAUACCAU
rnacentral:rRNA from 1 species